rnacentral:rRNA from 1 species
GAUGAACGCUGGCGGCGUGCUUAACACAUGCAAGUCGAACGGUGAAGCAGAGCUUGCUCUGUGGAUCAGUGGCGAACGGGUGGGUAACACGUGAGCAACCUGCCCCUGACUCUGGGAUAAGCGCUGGAAACGGCGUCUAAUACUGGAUAUGAGCUGCGACCGCAUGGUCAGCAGUUGGAAAGAUUUUUCGGUCUGGGAUAGGCUCACGGCCUAUCAGCUUGUUGGUGAGGUAAUGGCUCACCAAGGCGUCGACGGGUAGCCGGCCUGAGAGGGUGACCGGCCACACUGGGACUGAGACACGGCCCAGACUCCUACGGGAGGCAGCAGUGGGGAAUAUUGCACAAUGGGCGAAAGCCUGAUGCAGCAACGCCGCGUGAGGGAUGACGGCCUUCGGGUUGUAAACCUCUUUUAGCAGGGAAGAAGCGAAAGUGACGGUACCUGCAGAAAAAGCGCCGGCUAACUACGUG